ACAUCCAGCGAACUUGGCAGAGAUGCCUUGGUGCCUUCGGGAACGCUGAGACAGGUGCUGCAUGGCUGUCGUCAGCUCGUGUUGUGAAAUGUUGGGUUAAGUCCCGNAACGAGCGCAACCCUUAUCCUUUGUUGCCAGCGAUUCGGUCGGGAACUCAAAGGAGACUGCCGGUGAUAAACCGGAGGAAGGUGGGGAUGACGUCAAGUCAUCAUGGCCCUUACGAGUAGGGCUACACACGUGCUACAAUGGCGCAUACAAAGAGAAGCGACCUCGCGAGAGCAAGCGGACCUCAUAAAGUGCGUCGUAGUCCGGAUCGGAGUCUGCAACUCGACUCCGUGAAGUCGGAAUCGCUAGUAAUCGUGGAUCAGAAUGCCACGGUGAAUACGUUCCCGGGCCUUGUACACACCGCCCGUCACACCAUGGGAGUGGGUUGCAAAAGAAGUAGGUAGCUUAACCUUUGGGAGGGCGCUUACCACUUUGUGAUUCAUGACUGGGGUGAAGUCGUAACAAGGUAGGCGUAGCGAG
rnacentral:rRNA from 1 species